AUUGAACGCUGGCGGCAGGCCCGACACAUGCAAGUCGAGCGGAUGAGAGGAGCUUGCUUCUCGAUUCAGCGGCGGACGGGUGAGUAAUGCCUAGGAAUCUGCCUGGUAGUGGGGGACAACGUUUCGAAAGGAACGCUAAUACCGCAUACGUCCUACGGGAGAAAGCAGGGGACCUUCGGGCCUUGCGCUAUCAGAUGAGCCUAGGUCGGAUUAGCUAGUUGGUGAGGUAAUGGCUCACCAAGGCGACGAUCCGUAACUGGUCUGAGAGGAUGAUCAGUCACACUGGAACUGAGACACGGUCCUGACUCCUACGGGAGGCAGCAGUGGGGAAUAUUGGACAAUGGGCGAAAGCCUGAUCCAGCCAUGCCGCGUGUGUGAAGAAGGUCUUCGGAUUGUAAAGCACUUUAAGUUGGGAGGAAGGGUUGUAGAUUAAUACUCUGCAAUUUUGACGUUACCGACAGAAUAAGCACCGGCUAACUCUGUGCCAGCCGCCGCAGUAAAAC
rnacentral:rRNA from 1 species